rnacentral:rRNA from 1 species
GCUGGCGGCGUGCCUAAUACAUGCAAGUCGAGCGAACAGAUAAGGAGCUUGCUCCUUUGACGUUAGCGGCGGACGGGUGAGUAACACGUGGGUAACCUACCUAUAAGACUGGGAUAACUUCGGGAAACCGGAGCUAAUACCGGAUAACAUUUGGAACCGCAUGGUUCUAAAGUGAAAGAUGGUUUUGCUAUCACUUAUAGAUGGACCCGCGCCGUAUUAGCUAGUUGGUAAGGUAACGGCUUACCAAGGCAACGAUACGUAGCCGACCUGAGAGGGUGAUCGGCCACACUGGAACUGAGACACGGUCCAAACUCCUACGGGAGGCAGCAGUAGGGAAUCUUCCGCAAUGGGCGAAAGCCUGACGGAGCAACGCCGCGUGAGUGAUGAAGGGUUUCGGCUCGUAAAACUCUGUUAUUAGGGAAGAACAAAUGUGUAAGUAACUGUGCACGUCUUGACGGUACCUAAUCAGAAAGCCACGGCUAACUACGUGCCAGCAGCCGCGGUAAUACGUAGGUGGCAAGCGUUAUCCGGAAUUAUUGGGCGUAAGGCGCGCGUAGGCGGUUUCUUAAGUCUGAUGUGAAAGCCCACGGCUCAACCGUGGAGGGUCAUUGGAAACUGGGAAACUUGAGUGCAGAAGAGGAAAGUGGAAUUCCAUGUGUAGCGGUGAAAUGCGCAGAGAUAUGGAGGAACACCAGUGGCGAAGGCGACUUUCUGGUCUGUAACUGACGCUCAUGCACGAAAGCGUGGGGAGCAAACAGGAUUAGAUACCCUGGUAGUCC